AAGCAGACAAAGUCUCUCGACUUACCAGUUAAAGUAUAUCAUCUACAUUCAGGAAAACACAUCGUGAUUCUUACAUGGUUGGGUACGGAGCCAACUGAACCAGCUAUUCUCUUGAACAGUCAUAUGGAUGUAGUACCUGUCUUUGAGGUUGUAAGGUUACACCGUCUGGACUUAUCGCCUUUGUGUGGCCACGUCGAAGUCUCUCGAACGUUCUCGAUUUGAAAGUGCAGGGAGAGGCCUUAUUCAUAAUGGACAAAAGACGACGAUAGGCGACAAAGAGUCGGGUUCGGGUGUUCUUCGCUAAUUAAAACGGUUGUCUUCGGACGUAAAGGGUUGCACCUAAUAUAUCGUGGCAUUAGACUAUUGGUUUAGAUUGUAGAUACUUACUAU
rnacentral:misc_RNA from 1 species